UGUGAACGCUGGCGGCGUGCCUAAUACAUGCAAGUCGAGCGGACCACUUCGAUGGUCAGCGGCGGACGGGUGAGUAACACGUGGGCAACCUGCCUGUAAGACUGGGAUAACACCGGGAAACCGGUGCUAAUACCGGAUAAUCCUUUCCUUCACAUGAAGGGAAGCUGAAAGACGGUUUCGGCUGUCACUUACAGAUGGGCCCGCGGCGCAUUAGCUAGUUGGUGAGGUAACGGCUCACCAAGGCAACGGUGCGGAGCCGACCUGAGAGGGUGAUCGGCCACACUGGGACUGAGACACGGCCCAGACUCCUACGGGAGGCAGCAGUAGGGAAUCUUCCGCAAUGGACGAAAGUCUGACGGAGCAACGCCGCGUGAGCGAUGAAGGCUUUCGGGUCGUAAAGCUCUGUUGUCAGGGAAGAACAAGUACCGGAGUAACUGCCGGUACCUUGACGGUACCUGACCAGAAAGCCACGGCUAACUACGUGCCAGCCGCCGCCGUAA
rnacentral:rRNA from 1 species